GAUGAACGCUGGCGGCGUGCCUAAUACAUGCAAGUCGAGCGAACAGACGAGGAGCUUGCUCCUCUGACGUUAGCGGCGGACGGGUGAGUAACACGUGGAUAACAUACCUAUAAGACUGGGAUAACUUCGGGAAACCGGAGCUAAUACCGGAUAAUAUAUUGAACCGCAUGGUUCACUAGUUAAAGACGGUUUUGCUGUGACUUAUAGAUGAAUCCGCGCCGCAUUAGCUAGUUGGUAAGGUAACGGCUUACCAAGGCUACGAUGCUAAGCCGACCUGAGCGGGUGAUCGGCCACACUGGAACUGAGACACGGUCCCGACUCCUACAGGGGGAAGCAGUAGGGAAUCUUCCGCAAUGGGCGAAAGCGUGACGGAGCAACGUCGCGUGAGUGAUGAAGGUCUUCGGAUCGUAGAGCUCUGUUAUUAGGGAAGAACAAAUGUGUAAGUAACUAGGCACGUCUUGACGGUACCGGAUGAGAAAGCCACGGCUAACUACGUG
rnacentral:rRNA from 1 species